rnacentral:sRNA from 1 species
GACAGGCCUCGUCCUACCUGUCUUCACCUGUAUAAUGACAUCAUCCUAUAGCUGAUCAAUUAAACAUUACAGGUAGUGAGUGAUUUCUCAGGAAGAGUGGGAAAUACUCGGGGGCAGAAUUGAGCCUGCGGUAUCAGUGUGAAGAAGGUAGAAGGCUCUCACAGUUUUCUAGUCAAACUCGUCAGCUUUGUUAUACCGAGUGAGCACACACCACGAAAGUGCAAAUAAUAUGCAUUUCCCAUCUCUGUCCACCAAGACGCCCCUGAAACAUCCCAGUAACAUCCCUGUCCGGAUGCCAAUUUCUAAAUAUUAUCCUCCCGUAAAGAGAACUCAUUAGAAUUUAUAUAUGGCUGCCUCCCCCAGUUGGGAGGCAGAGGCAGGUGGAUCUCUGUGAGUUUGAGGGCAGCCUGGUGGUCUACAGAGUUCCAGGACAGCCAGGGAUACCCAGAGAAACCCUGUCUGGAAAAACAAAACAAAGCAAAAAACUGGAUUCCUGGAUUGGGCAGAGAAAUUUUCAAAAUACACUGGAAUAUCUUACUCCUUUUUUUGCACAGAGGAGUGGGUAUAUUUGUAUUUCCUUGAGUCCCACUGGUUCCUAGAGAUCAGGUGCUCCAGCUGUGUAGGGCUCCACCGUGAGGAAUCUGAUGUGAAGGACAAAUUAGGAAGUGUUUGAGGGAUGAUGGGAGGAGGAGGGGCAUGCCCAAGGACGGAGGAGUGAUCUCUGCUUCUUCUGGCCAACAUGGGCAAGUUAAGAAACUAAUGCUGGGAAUGGAUUGUAAACUCUGGAAAGGAAAAGCUAUGAACUUAUAAUAAUGCAAACAAAUGAAUUAGUAAAUAGGCAGAGAGAAGCGACUCCUGCCUGUACCCUCACACCGUUCCAGGGAUUGACCUAUCCGCACAGUGAGUAAAUGAGAAAUAGGAAGUUAUGGACACUCAAAAGCUGGGAUCCGGUACACUGGGCUCCCCCAUAGGGAAGCCACAGUACCCCAGAAGGACAGCGUGUUUGUUUUCAAUUAAACAUGGAAGUGGGGUUAUUAAAUGCAACAUGCGCAUGCAAACACACACAGAGAGAGAGAGAGAGAGAGAGAGAGAGAGAGAGAGAGAGAGAGAGAGAGAGAGAGAGAGAGAGGUUUAGCUAAUCUCAGUAGGCACAGUAUACAGGGGAGUCUUCAGGCAAUAAAUAAUCAGGAUGAGAAAGCUACGGUGAACAUUUUCUGCACAUGUUAUCAACAUCCACACUUGGAUCAUUUGCCCUCUGGGCUGAGGCGUGGGAUUCCUUAACACAGUCAUGCCAUGACAACAACAUAGAUCCAUUCAAGACAUCAUUCAUUCAGGGCUCCCCACUCCCCACUCUGUGCAGUAGAACUGCAGUGUAAACGAAAACAGGCCAAUACAAAAGGAAGUACUUGUUCCUGUAGAGGGAGGUGGUGUCGAUUCCCUAAUUGGUUCUCGAUUGUGUCAAUAAAGGAGGCAGAAGCCAAUUGCUGGGCGAAGGGGGAAGGGUGGGACUUCAGGAUGGAAGGGAAGGGACACAGGGAAAGAGGAUUUCGGACCAGGCUUUGGAUCCCGGAGGAAGCUGCAGUCAUGUAGGUCAUAGGGCCCCUAGAGUUUGUAGCCUCCUUGUUGAGCAGGGGCCGAGGAGGACGGAGGGAGGCAUCUAGUUGAUAAGAUUAGGGCGGGAAAUUCUUCGCCCAGCCAUUGAGCUAUCUGGCUAGUUUUAAAAUAAUAAAAGUAGUCUCCCAUCCGUGGGACUGAGGUGGGCAGGAGGAGAAAGAGUGUUGGCAGCUUGGCGAAGCUAUCUCUGAGGGGUUGCAGGGAGUAGUUGCAAUUCCAGGGAGGAAAAAUGGCCUCUGGCUGUUGGCGGAGCUGAGUGAAAAUCUCUGAGCCUAUCCUGGAGCGCAGGCAGAGCUCCCAAGAAGGGGGAAGUGUGGGGGAAGUGUGCGAGUGUGUGUGUGUGUGUGUGUGUGUGUGUGUGUGUGUGUGUGUGUGUGUGUGUGUGUGUUUAAAUUACAUGCAACAAAUUCAAGUAUUGUACAAUCAAAGUACUUCCCUAGUGGAGUUUAUGAACUUUAAAUUGUUAGCAUGAUUCUGUUCUAAGAGUGUAAUGAGUUUUCCCAUCUUUUUUGUUAAAAUCCAGUAUUGUCGUUUUCUAUUGCUGUUCUUAUAAAUCACCAGAAGUGGGACUUAAUACCUACAAAUGUAUCAUUACACAGGACUACAGAUUCCAACUGUCAUUAAACUAAAACCAAGGUGUUUGUGUUUCUUUCUGAGGUUCUCGGGACUGGUUUAUUUUCCUGCCUUUCUGUAUUAAAGGCAGCUUGCAUCUCUUGGUUUGUAUACUCUCCUCCAUGUUCAAACACUGAUGGACAGUUAAAUUAUUCUCAUACCACAUUUCUCUAAUACUGUUUCUUCUUUCUCGCUUUCACUCCUGAGGACCCUCAUCGAUUCAGACAGCCACCUUACAGCCCUCCUGAGAGAACCCUGCUGCAGAGAACCCUGGAGCACAGUGACGGACCAGAAAGCCAGCCGUGCAACGUGCGCUGCCUUCUCGCAGAUGGAUGCAAACUGAGGGCUGUCCCGGCAUGAGGGAAAUGUGUAACGACAGAAGACUGUGGCCUUGUAUCCCAGGACCAACCAAUGCAGGAGGAUUGGUCAGGUAGAAUCCAUUUUGGAGCUUAACAGCAAAAAGCAUUAUGCUAUGUAAUAUCCCUUUGCCCCAGCUUCCCUCUCCCUGGCUUGCAUCUGCCCUCCUAUCUCUUGUCUCUUCACAGCAUCUUCACCUUACAUGUAUUUCUACAUCCAGUUUUCCCGCUCUUCCUGGUACCAAUCACAGUGGCUUAGGGACAACCAUCUUAAUGACAACCUUUUCAUUUAAUUGCCAUCGAAGUCCUGCCUCCAGGCCCAGUCACCCUCAGGAACCAAUGGACUGCUUAACAAACCAUGAAACAACUAACCAACGACCUAGCCCACCUCGUGGGCUCUAGCAUUUACGUACCCUCUGAGAAGUCCUCGGAAUUCCAAAUGUCACACAUUUGCAGAAACGAUCUGCAGCCAGAGAAAUCACCAUGCCCGAGGCAUGCUCUGUUUGCAUGUGUACCUACAUGCCAGAAGAA